rnacentral:rRNA from 1 species
CAUGCAAGUCGAACGGCAGCGCGGGAGCAAUCCUGGCGGCGAGUGGCGAACGGGUGAGUAAUACAUCGGAACGUGCCCAAUCGUGGGGGAUAACGCAGCGAAAGCUGUGCUAAUACCGCAUAAGAUCUACGGAUGAAAGCAGGGGAUCGCAAGACCUUGCGCGAAUGGAGCGGCCGAUGGCAGAUUAGGUAGUUGGUGAGGUAAAGGCUCACCAAGCCUUCGAUCUGUAGCUGGUCUGAGAGGACGACCAGCCACACUGGGACUGAGACACGGCCCAGACUCCUACGGGAGGCAGCAGUGGGGAAUUUUGGACAAUGGGCGAAAGCCUGAUCCAGCCAUGCCGCGUGCAGGAUGAAGGCCUUCGGGUUGUAAACUGCUUUUGUACGGAACGAAAAGGUCUUUUCUAAUAAAGAAGGCUCAUGACGGUACCGUAAGAAUAAGCACCGGCUAACUACGUGCCAGCAGCCGCGGUAAUACGUAGGGUGCGAGCGUUAAUCGGAAUUACUGGGCGUAAAGCGUGCGCAGGCGGUUAUAUAAGACAGUUGUGAAAUCCCCGGGCUCAACCUGGGAACUGCAUCUGUGACUGUAUAGCUAGAGUACGGUAGAGGGGGAUGGAAUUCCGCGUGUAGCAGUGAAAUGCGUAGAUAUGCGGAGGAACNNCNAUGGCGAAGGCAAUCNCNCUGGACCUGUACUGACGCUCAUGCACGAAAGCGUNNGAGCAAACAGGAUUAGAUACCNCUGGUAGUCUNCNCCNCUAAACGAUGUCNACUGGUUGUUGGGUCUUCACUGACUCAGU